UACUCCGGUGGUUGUGAAAUGGUGACUCUGUCCUGAUUUGCCAGAUGGGGGAAACUCUCGUGCUCUCUUUUAUUGUUCUCUCCUUAAAAAAGCAACUUGCACAGGGAAGAUGACCCACAGUCAGGAGAAUAUUGGGUUCUAAAAUCAUCUGUUUCCAUUCCUUCCUGUGUGUGUUUCCCUCCUGUCUCUGAGGCGGUCCUGUGGAUGGUGCUUAAUUUAUGUCUAGAUCUCUGUUCUCCAUACCUGCUCUCAAGAGAAAGGUUUUGGACCGAGAAAAAGGCACCACUUCUCUCUGUAGAAGCUGGGUAGAGACAUCAAUCAAGAGCCAUAGACACAAAUGCUAAAGUAAUUUGAGAAUUUUCAGAGGUACUGAUACUGAUGAACUCCUGGAAACUACAUGGUGAUGGGUCAUUAAUGUUCUCAGAAUGAGAAAUACAGUGCAGUCAGUGAAAACUCCAAACCAUCAUUUCAUCUUUACAGAGAACUCUUUGACGAGACAAAGUGGUUCAUCUUCAAGUGGCACUAGUAUCUCCAUCUUCUCUUCAACUUCUCUGUGGAUUUGUCCUCUCCUCAGAAGACUGAAGCCAUGUUGGUUGGGUGUCCACAGUCUUGUACCCUGAAAUUCCAAACCUGGAAUGGAUGGAUCUCAAUUCAGUGGGAUUUGGUGUUGUGAAGUUUGUUUCUUACUUUUUUUUUUAAUUUUUAAAGAGAUUAUUUAUUUAUUUGACAGAGAAAGAGAGAGAUCACAAGCAGGCAGGCAGAGAGAGAGAAGGGGAAGCAGGCUCCCCGCUGAGCAGAGAGCCUGAUGCAGGGCUUGAUCCCAGGACCCUGAGAUCAUGACCUGAGCUGAAGGCAGAGGCUUAACCCUCUGAGCCACCCAGGUGCCCCAUGAAGUUAGUUUUCUUAAUUAACCCUAGCAUAUCCCCAGGUGGGGGACUAUGGUUCAUUUGUCAAGGGGCUAUUCAAGUCUUUUGCCCAUUUCUUAAAUUGGACAAGUUUUCCUUUAAUUGAUUCAAAGGAUAUUCAAAUGGCAAACAAUUUAUCAAGAGGUACUCAGUAGCCUCACUUAAUAACCCUAAGUAGUGAACAGACUCAGGGAAGUCAUGUUGUGGUCAACUUAACCUAUUUAAAUUAGUUACAUGACCAGCUGCAGAACCACCUCAGGGUGAGAAAGUGUAGGCUUUGUGGUUUUAGCUCAGCCAGCAAGGACUUGCAGAGACAUUGAGGGCCCAAAGCAGCCUGUCUUGCCCCACAAAUAUGAAUCAAGAAAGUAUUAAAAAAAAAAAAACUCAGCCAAUGAAAAUUAUUCAUUACAUAUACUUUAAAAAAGUUAUUUUUCAAAAUAUUUAAACUAUCUAUAAAAUUAAAAGAUAAGAUGCCUAUGAAAAUGAGAUAUAAAUAACACCUUUUUCAUGAAGCUGAAUAUCUUGAAUUUGCUUUUGGACAAUUUAACCACAUCUUAUUAAAUAUUUUGAAAAUAAAACAAUCUACAAUUCUGCCAGUUGAUGUCCACCUUGUGACCAAUGGGGAUAAAAAGCAUUAACACCCUUUGUAGUAGGCAGGAUACUAAAAUGGAUGCCAAGAUUCUGGCCCUGGAGUAUGUGUUCUCUAAAAUCUCCAUCCACUUAAUUGUGAGCAAGACCGCUAAAUAUAAUGGAGUAUCACUCCCAUGUGUAUGCUCUGAUAUAAAACAAAAGAGAUUUUACAGAUGUAAUUAAGGUCCCUAAUCAGCUGACUUUGAGUCCCUUCAAAUGGAGCAUAUACAGAGCGAGGCUGACCUAGUUAGAUGAGCUCUCAUGGAGACAAGGAGGAGCAGCAGACACUCUUCCGCUGGCUAUAAAGAAAAAAGUCACAAUAAGCCCUAUUGCCACAAUGAACUGAAUUCUGUCAAUCACCUGAAUAAGUUUAGAAGAGUUCCAGGGGUGCCUGUGUGGCUCAGUAGGCUAACUGUCUGACCAUCGAUUUUGGCUCAGGUCAUGAUCUCAGGAGUCAUGAGAUUGAAACCCGCGUCCAACUCCAAACUCAGCAGGGAGUCUUCUUGAGAUUCUCUCUCCCUCUUCUUCUGCUCCUCCCUCCCAAUACUCAUUCACUCCAGUGUUCUCUCUCUUUCUCUGUCUAAAAUAAAUAAAUAAAUAAACCUUUAAAAAAAAAAAAAAAGACCCUGAGCUCCAGAUGAGAAUUAAGCUGUAGAUGAUAUGUUGAUUUCAACCUUGUUUGACCUGGAGCAGAGGACCCAGGUGAACUCCAGCCAGAUUUAUGACCCACAGAACAGAGGUAAUAAAUGGGCAUUGUCCUGAGUCACUAACUUUGUGGAGGUUUGUAGCAGGAAGAAAAUGUAUAUAGCCUUAAUGCAUAUUAUAACAAUUGCACGUCUAAGCAUCCUGUAUUCAUAACUCGCUCACAUUUUGUGUACAAUCUUUUAAUCAUUGUACAAAGUAGGUGGUCAUCCACCUACAUUUAUUUGCCACUUCUUACCUACAGAGAGAAAUCAAUGGUUCUUAUCCGCAAAUGUGAAUAACCACCCUACUUUGCAUGUUGUUGAAAAGAUUCCAUAGAAUAUGUAGGGGAGCUAUAGGUAUGGGGCCUGGUCUGGGGAAAAUAGUCUAUAAAUGCUUCCUUUCCUUAUUGAGCCAAGACCUUGUUAAUGGCCAUAAGCAAAAUGACUCGGAACUUGUACAUACCAUUACGGUCAGUUAGCUCUCAGUUGUUUAUCGACCUGAUGUGGAGCAAGCAAACUGCUUUGGUGAUGGCUGCUGAAACCUGCAGCUGACAUGUGGUGGAACGUCAUUCAUCAUAACCCUGAACUUCUCAUUGUUGGGAGAGUGGGGGAACAAAGAGGAGAGAGGGCUUCCAUUAUCGUGCCUCAGAGUCCCUACUUGGAUGUUGUCAUAUGACCUAAGGGUGCUGUAGAAGAAAGUUCAAAAGGCUGUAAACAUAUCUUGCCAUCUCAUAUGAACUUCA